GCUCAUUUCAGCGAACAUAUACUAAAAUUAGAACAAUACAGAGAUUAGCAUGGCCCUUGUGCAAUGAUGAUGCACAAAUUUGUGUUCAUAUAAAAUGUAUAU